rnacentral:rRNA from 1 species
AUGGCGGACGCCAUGACGCUCUCCUACCUGCCCCUCUCGCUUGCCACGGUCCUCUUCGUCCUCGUCCUGCUCGGGAACCUCAGGAAGCGCCGGCGUGAGCGCGGACUCCGGCUGCCGCCGAGCCCGCCGUCCCUGCCGGUCAUCGGCCACCUGCACCUCUUCAAGAAGCCGCUCCACCGCGCGCUGGCCAACAUCGCCGCGGCGCACGGGCCGGUGCUGCUCCUCCGCUUCGGCUCUCGCCGCGUGCUCCACGUCGCCGACCCGGCCGCCAACGAGGAGUGCUUCACAGCGCACGACGUGGUCUUCGCCAACCGGCCCCGGCUCCCCUCCGCGCGCCACCUCUCCAACGGCUACACCACGCUGGGGUCCUCCAGCUACGGCCCCAACUGGCGCAACCUCCGCCGCAUCGCCACCGUCGAGGUGCUCUCCGCGGGCAGCCUCCUCCGCUCCGCGGCCGUCCGCGGCGACGAGGUGCGCCUCGCUGCACGCCGCCUCUUCCUCGAGGCCGCCGCCGCCGGGGCGUCGGAGCCGAGGCCCGCGCGCGCCGACGUGAAGGCGCGGGCGUUCGAGCUGGCGCUGAACGUGGUGGCGCGGAUGAUCGCCGGGAAGCGGUACUACGGCGGCGAGGGAGACGUGCCGGAGUCUGAGGCGGAGGAGGCCGCCAGGUUCCGGGAGAUGGUGCGCGAGUACUUCGCGAUGCAUGGCGCGUCCAACCUGCAGGACUUCCUGCCUGUGCUCGGCGUGCUGGACAUCGGCGGCGCCAGGAGGCGGGCGGUGCGGCUGGCCCGGAAGCGCAACGAGUGGGCGCAGCGGCUCAUCGACGAGCACCGCGCCGCCUUCGACGAUGGCGAGGGGAAGAGCCGCCGCGGCAGGACGAUGGUCGGCGACCUGCUGGAGAUGCAGGCGGCCGAUCCGGAGGCGUACAGCGACAAGGUCAUCAGAGCGCUCUGCCUGAGCAUCCUUCAAACCGGCACGGACACCUCGUCGAGCACCAUCGAAUGGAGCAUGGCGGAGCUGCUCAACCACCCGGACGCCAUGGCAAAGGCGAGGGUGGAGCUCGACGAGGUCGUCGGCACGGGGCGCCUCCUGGAGGAAGCCGACCUUUCCAGCCUGCCCUACCUCCAGUGCAUCAUCAAGGAGACCCUCCGGCUGCACCCAAUCGCCCCGCUCCUCGCCCCACACGAGUCCUCCGCCGCCUGCUCCGUCGCAGGCUACGACAUCCCGGCGGGAACCAUGCUCCUUGUCAACGUGCACAUGAUGCACAGGGAUGCGCUCAUGUGGGAUGAGCCGACAAGGUUCUCGCCAGAGAGGUUUGAAGGCGGGAGGGGCGAGGGAAAGUGGAUGCUGCCAUUCGGAAUGGGGAGGAGAGGGUGCCCUGGCGAGGCGCUAGGCAUGAACAUGGUCGGGCUCGCUGUCGGCACGCUGGUGCAGUGCUUUGAGUGGAGGAGGGUCGGCGAGGAGGUGAUUGACAUGGCUGAAGGGUCAGGGCUGACCAUGCCCAUGGCUGUACCUUUGGAGGCUUUGUACUGGCCUCGUGCAGAGAUGACACCGGUGCUAAGGGCACUCUAG